rnacentral:rRNA from 1 species
UACAGAGGUCUCAAGCGUUGUUCGGAUUCAUUGGGCGUAAAGGGUGCGUAGGCGGCGCGGUAAGUCGGGUGUGAAAUUUCGGAGCUUAACUCCGAAACUGCAUUCGAUACUGCCGUGCUUGAGGACUGGAGAGGAGACUGGAAUUUACGGUGUAGCGGUGAAAUGCGUAGAUAUCGUAAGGAAGACCAGUGGCGAAGGCGGGUCUCUGGACAGCAACUGACGCUGAGGCACGAAGGCCAGGGGAGCAAACGGG